GGCUUAACACAUGCAAGUCGAGGGGCAGCACAGGUAGCAAUACCGGGUGGCGACCGGCGCACGGGUGAGUAACGCGUAUGCAACUUACCUAUCAGAGGGGGAUAACCCGGCGAAAGUCGGACUAAUACCGCAUGAAGCAGGGGCCCCGCAUGGGGAUAUUUGCUAAAGAUUCAUCGCUGAUAGAUAGGCAUGCGUUCCAUUAGGCAGUUGGCGGGGUAACGGCCCACCAAACCGACGAUGGAUAGGGGUUCUGAGAGGAAGGUCCCCCACAUUGGUACUGAGACACGGACCAAACUCCUACGGGAGGCAGCAGUGAGGAAUAUUGGUCAAUGGCCGAGAGGCUGAACCAGCCAAGUCGCGUGAGGGAUGAAGGUUCUAUGGAUCGUAAACCUCUUUUAUAAGGGAAUAAAGUGCGGGACGUGUCCCGUUUUGUAUGUACCUUAUGAAUAAGGAUCGGCUAACUCCGUGCCAGCAGCCGCGGUAAUACGGAGGAUCCGAGCGUUAUCCGGAUUUAUUGGGUUUAAAGGGUGCGUAGGCGGCCUUUUAAGUCAGCGGUGAAAGUCUGUGGCUCAACCAUAGAAUUGCCGUUGAAACUGGGGGGCUUGAGUAUGUUUGAGGCAGGCGGAAUGCGUGGUGUAGCGGUGAAAUGCAUAGAUAUCACGCAGAACCCCGAUUGCGAAGGCAGCCUGCCAAGCCAUUACUGACGCUGAUGCACGAAAGCGUGGGGAUCAAACAGGAUUAGAUACCCUGGUAGUCCACGCAGUAAACGAUGAUCACUAGCUGUUUGCGAUACACUGUAAGCGGCACAGCGAAAGCGUUAAGUGAUCCACCUGGGGAGUACGCCGGCAACGGUGAAACUCAAAGGAAUUGACGGGGGCCCGCACAAGCGGAGGAACAUGUGGUUUAAUUCGAUGAUACGCGAGGAACCUUACCCGGGUUUGAACGCAUUCGGACCGAGGUGGAAACACCUUUUCUAGCAAUAGCCGUUUGCGAGGUGCUGCAUGGUUGUCGUCAGCUCGUGCCGUGAGGUGUCGGCUUAAGUGCCAUAACGAGCGCAACCCUUGCCACUAGUUACUAACAGGUAAAGCUGAGGACUCUGGUGGGACUGCCAGCGUAAGCUGCGAGGAAGGCGGGGAUGACGUCAAAUCAGCACGGCCCUUACAUCCGGGGCGACACACGUGUUACAAUGGCGUGGACAAAGGGAAGCCACCUGGCGACAGGGAGCGAAUCCCCAAACCACGUCUCAGUUCGGAUCGGAGUCUGCAACCCGACUCCGUGAAGCUGGAUUCGCUAGUAAUCGCGCAUCAGCCAUGGCGCGGUGAAUACGUUCCCGGGCCUUGUACACACCGCCCGUCAAGCCAUGGGAGCCGGGGGUACCUGAAGUCCGUAACCGCGAGGAUCGGCCUAGGGUAAAACUGGUGACUGGGGCUAAGUCG
rnacentral:rRNA from 1 species